rnacentral:rRNA from 1 species
UACGUAGGGGGCGAGCGUUAUCCGGAUUCAUUGGGCGUAAAGCGCGCGUAGGCGGCCGCCUAAGCGGAACCUCUAACCCCGGGGCUCAACCUCGGGCCGGGUUCCGGACUGGGCGGCUCGAGUGCGGUAGAGGAGAGCGGAAUUCCCGGUGUAGCGGUGGAAUGCGCAGAUAUCGGGAAGAACACCGAUGGCUAAGGCAGCUCUCUGGGCCGUCACUGACGCUGAGGCGCGAAAGCUGGGGGAGCGAACAGG